GGGUCAGUAGGUUGGUCGUGCCACCGGUACGUACUGGUCUCACUGAUUCCUUCUUCCUGAAGAACCGUAAUACCAUUAAUUUGGUGUUGCGGGGAAACAGGACUGUUACUUUGAAAAAAUUAGAGUGUUUAAAGCAAGCUAACGCUUGAAUACAUUAGCAUGGAAUAAUGAAAUAGGACGAUCGAUCCUAUUUUGUUGGUUUCUAGGAUUGACGUA
rnacentral:rRNA from 1 species